UACGGGGGGGGCAAGCGUUGUUCGGAAUUACUGGGCGUAAAGGGCUCGUAGGUGGCCAACUAAGUCAGACGUGAAAUCCCUCGGCUUAACCGGGGAACUGCGUCUGAUACUGGAUGGCUUGAGUUUGGGAGAGGGACGCGGAAUUCCAGGUGUAUCGGUGAAAUGCGUAGAUAUCUGGAGGAACACCGGUGGCGAAGGCGGCGUCCUGGACCAACACUGACACUGAGGAGCGAAAGCCAGGGGAGCAAACGGG
rnacentral:rRNA from 1 species